GAUGAACGCUGGCGGCGUGCCUAAUACAUGCAAGUCGAGCGAACAGACGAGGAGCUUGCUCCUCUGACGUUAGCGGCGGACGGGUGAGUAACACGUGGAUAACCUACCUAUAAGACUGGGAUAACUUCGGGAAACCGGAGCUAAUACCGGAUAAUAUAUUGAACCGCAUGGUUCAAUAGUGAAAGACGGUUUUGCUGUCACUUAUAGAUGGAUCCGCGCCGCAUUAGCUAGUUGGUAAGGUAACGGCUUACCAAGGCAACGAUGCGUAGCCGACCUGAGAGGGUGAUCGGCCACACUGGAACUGAGACACGGUCCAGACUCCUACGUGAGGCAGCAGUAGGGAAUCUUACGCAAUGGGCGAAAGCCUGACGGAGCAACGCCGCGUGAGUGAUGAAGGUCUUCGGAUCGUAAAACUCUGUUAUUAGGGAAGAACAAAUGUGUAAGUAACUAUGCACGUCUUGACGGUACCUAAUCAGAAAGCCACGGCUAACUACGUG
rnacentral:rRNA from 1 species